rnacentral:RNase_P_RNA from 1 species
GGUAGUGCACCUAGCAAUCGGAGAACCUAACAAAAGCCUUGCUUUUUGGUGAAGCUUUUUUUAAAAUGGUUCGCUGAGGAAAGUCCGCACACUAUUAAAGACCACUCUUGUAAAAGAGCUCAAGAAAUUGAGGGCAACCACGCAGAAACGACACGGUCUUUUGGCGUAAUGAUGUUCGCGAAAUUUCCAGCGAUGGAAACGAGAACCAACUGAACUUGCCAAAAGAAAACGAUGAAACGGUGAGUCCUGGUUUGUGCAAGUCUUUACGACGCAUAGUCAAAUGCUGGGAAGAGCUAUUCCUAAGGAAGCUCUACAAAAUGCGGCUUAUGUGCUGCC